CAACGCGAAAACCUUACCUACCUUGACAUGUCUGGAACCUUGCUGAGAGGCGAGGUGCCGUCGGGAGCAGAACACAGGUGCUGCAUGGCUGUCGUCAGCUCGUGUCGUGAGAUGUUGGGUUAAGUCCCGCAACGAGCGCAACCCUUGUCAUUAGUUGCCAUCAUUUAGUUGGGCACUCUAAUGAGACUGCCGGUGACAAACCGGAGGAAGGUGGGGAUGACGUCAAGUCCUCAUGGCCCUUAUGGGUAGGGCUUCACACGUGCUACAAUGGUUGGUACAACGAGUUGCGAGUCGGUGACGGCGAGCUAAUCUCUUAAAGCCAAUCUCAGUUCGGAUUGUAGGCUGCAACUCGCCUACAUGAAGUCGGAAUCGCUAGUAAUCGCGGAUCAGCACGCCGCGGUGAAUACGUUCCCGGGCCUU
rnacentral:rRNA from 1 species